rnacentral:rRNA from 1 species
CACCGAAGUCAAGCAUCAUUGGGCGCGGUCAGUACUUGGGUGGGUGACCACCUGGGAAUACUGCGUGCCGUU